rnacentral:piRNA from 1 species
UGUGAAAACAAAAAAACCAAA